ACCGUAACUUCGGGAGAAGGUACGCUCUUGACGGUGAAGUCCCUUGCGGAUGGAGCUAUUGAGAGUCGCAGAUACCAGGUGGCUGCAACUGUUUAUUAAAAACACAGCACUGUGCAAAAUCGCAAGAUGACGUAUACGGUGUGACGCCUGCCCGGUGCCGGAAGGUUAAUUGAUGGGGUUAGACGCAAGUCGAAGCUCUUGAUCGAAGCCCCGGUAAACGGCGGCCGUAACUAUAACGGUCCUAAGGUAGCGAAAUUCCUUGUCGGGUAAGUUCCGACCUGCACGAAUGGCGUAAUGAUGGCCACGCUGUCUCCACCCGAGACUCAGUGAAAUUGAAAUCGCUGUGAAGAUGCAGUGUACCCGCGGCUAGACGGAAAGACCCCGUGAACCUUUACUACAGCUUGGCACUGAACAUUGAACCUACAUGUGUAGGAUAGGUGGGAGACUUUGAAGCGCAGACGCUAGUUUGCGUGGAGUCGACCUUGAAAUACCACCCUUGUAGUUUUGAUGUUCUAACGUUGGCCCCUAAUCGGGGUUGCGGACAGUGCCUGGUGGGUAGUUUGACUGGGGCGGUCUCCUCCCAAAGAGUAACGGAGGAGCACGAAGGUGGGCUAAUCACGGUUGGACAUCGUGAGGUUAGUGCAAUGGCAUAAGCCCGCUUAACUGCGAGAAUGACGGUUCGAGCAGGUGCGAAAGCAGGUCAUAGUGAUCCGGUGGUUCUGAAUGGAAGGGCCAUCGCUCAACGGAUAAAAGGUACUCCGGGGAUAACAGGCUGAUACCGCCCAAGAGUUCAUAUCGACGGCGGUGUUUGGCACCUCGAUGUCGGCUCAUCACAUCCUGGGGCUGAAGUCGGUCCCAAGGGUAUGGCUGUUCGCCAUUUAAAGUGGUACGCGAGCUGGGUUUAGAACGUCGUGAGACAGUUCGGUCCCUAUCUGCCGUGGGCGUUGGAGAAUUGAAGGGGGCUGCUCCUAGUACGAGAGGACCGGAGUGGACGAACCUCUGGUGUUCGGGUUGUCACGCCAGUGGCAUUGCCCGGUAGCUAAGUUCGGAAUUGAUAAGCGCUGAAAGCAUCUAAGCGCGAAGCGAGCCCUGAGAUGAGUUCUCCCUGGCACUAUAAGUGUCCUAAAGGGUUGUUCGAGACUAGAACGUUGAUAGGCAGGGUGUGUAAGCGCUGUGAGGCGUUGAGCUAACCUGUACUAAUUGCCCGUGAGGCUUAACCAU
rnacentral:ncRNA from 1 species